rnacentral:rRNA from 1 species
GACGUAGGGGGCGAGCGUUGUCCGGAUUUAUUGGGCGUAAAGAGCUCGUAGGCGGCUCAGAAAGUCGGGUGUGAAAUCUCUAGGCUCAACCUGGAGAUGUCAUCUGAUACUGCUGUGGCUAGAGUCCGGUAGGGGAACACGGAAUACCCGGUGUAGCGGUGAAAUGCUUAGAUAUCGGGUGGAACACCAGUGGCGAAGGCGGUGUUCUGGGCCGGAACUGACGCUGAGGAGCGAAAGCGUGGGUAGCAAACAGG